CAUAUCACAUUGAAACACCAGCUACUGUACAAUCUCUGAAGUUAAGCAAAGUUGAGCCUGGUCAGUACCUAGAUGGGCGACCACCUAGGAAGACUAGGUGCUGUAAG